rnacentral:lncRNA from 1 species
UGUUUCAAGAUUUUCAUCGCCAUUACAAUGAUUGCUACUUCCUAUUCUUGAGAGGAUUCAGAGAACUGAACAGCCUACUUUUAAUUUGCCCUUCUGACAUAUUAUACUUCAGCUUCUAGCUCAAGAAACAAGCCCAAGCCAUCUUCUUGAGCCUCUUUGGGGCCUCUUGGCGAGGACAGGGGUGUUUCCUCUUGGAAGAAAGCAGCAGGAUGCCACAGGAGUGGUAA